rnacentral:lncRNA from 1 species
AAGACACGUUACUGUGAUGCAAGGUGUGAAAGUUGCUGAUGUUUACAGGAAACAGAUUGGAACAAGAUAUCAACACAGACUGAGGCAACCACAGACAAGACUGUAUGUUGAGAUGGAAGACUCAAAAGAUUGCAGCAGCCUGGAUAACUCAGGUACCACACAGAGGACAACUGCCCUAGAGAGUUGCCUUGACCCACAAAAGACAUUGCAUGAGAUUAAAAUAAACUUUUAUUGUGUCAAACCUUUGAGAUUUGGGGCUUGUUUGUUACUGCAGCAUGACUUAGCCCAUUCUUACUAAUAUAAGAAAUGCCCAAUGGAGUGCCUGUCAAUUCUUCUUAGAUCUCAUCCUACCUCUCUUCCAGCCAGACACUAUCUUACAAGCUAGUCCUCUCUCCUCUAAUACUGUUCCACAGCCAACCCAUCUUUAGACUUUCUAAUCACCUAAACCUUAGGAGAGGUUUGGGUACAGACUCAGGAAGGUUUCUCAAGCCACAUUUGCCUGAGCAGUUCAUUCUUCUGAGAAUUUAUCCAGUUGUUUCAUGAAACAAAUAAAGUCUCAUGGAGAAUUAGUCUCAGUCCAGGGAAGAGAGAAUAUUUGACUGUCUUCACAUAAUGUAUUUUUACAUGACUAAAUUAAAAAGCAGGUCGUUUGUCUUUACUAGGUGAAGAUAAGAACUACUUUCCCCUUUUCCUGACACCUCUAAAGUUAAUCUUAGGACUUAAAAUGUUGGUGUAAAAAUAAUUGCUUUUUCCUCUACUGUAAAGUUAACACCUAAGUGCCUAGAGACUCUGCCAGUGACCCAAACUUAAACUUCAACCAUUUGCACAAAAUGAUCCUUCCCUGGCCAAAGAAAAAGCCUCUUUGCGUCUAGAAGUUAGGCUUGCAGUUUUUGAACUGCUCCAUCAAUCUACGUGAAACUUCACACUUCUCGGCCACAACUGCUAGGAAGAAUGCUAGAAACAACUGGAUCUUUAUUUUCUCCAAUCACCUCUGAGUGAACCAGGCAGAAUCA